AAGUUCAUUGUACAUGACUAAUUACUAAUUACUAAUUAGUAUUGACUAUUGAGUAUUCAGUAUUCCUUCAUUCUAUUGUCGUGAUGACGAAACUUACUAUUUUAUUAUUGGUGUUGUAUGCUGUAUUUAUUGGCUUGGAAUUCCUCAUCAUUCGGUAUACGACGGAAGUCAUUUAUAAUUAUUUCUUUAAUUGAAGUCCAACAUGUUGAAUCAAAACAUGAUUUAUUCAAAUUCAUAUUGUGAUACGUGCGAUUACUGUUGCGUAAUUUUACCAGACCACUUGGCAAAAAAUGUAUCUAAGACUAGAUUAAUGAAAAAAAAAAAUCUAGACAUUGAAUUGUCAAGCGAAUGGAAGAACUAUAGGACCCGGACUUGAAUGCUAAUAUGAAUCAAAAAAUAUUGUAUUUUUCAGAAAAUUAAU